AGUUGCUGAUCUUUGCUUAUUUGUUCCAUAUCUAGAAUGGAAAUCAAUUCAGAGAAUACAAUCUUCAUUUGCUAUUGUUACUACGUCUAGUCAGCAAACAAUCUGUAAGUGAUUACGUUUUCCCCAUUUGCACGGAAAUGGAUGGAGUGCCGUAACAUAAUUCUGCUACAGUGGAUGGCAAGAUGAAAAACAGUUUUAGGUGGAAGAUGAACUGCAGUAGAACAGAAACACUGCUGCAGGAUCAUCUUCCGCCAACUUCCCUGUGGUUGCAAACAUGGAUGAAGGCAACAUAAUGUACCUCCUCCAGCUAGACUGCCUCUUCCCUCACUUACAGGACCACUAUUACAAAACGCCUGAAGACAAGCCAUUUCCCUGCCUUCACCACAUUCUUGGCUCUCCCCAGAAAAGAAGAAUGCCCUGCCACAAAAGUUUUCAGAUGCAAGUGCAAAAGAUUCACAACCACAUGUGAAAGAAAGAAGCAAGCUGGGGAGGUUUGAAAGACAUCCCAGCUUAGUCAGCAGACUUUUACUAUCUUGGCCACGGAGAGUGAAAAGUGACUGCAGUGCUCAGAAUACCGACCUCAGUCUCAGGAGUAGUCAGUCAAAAUGUAGAUUCACAGCCAAGGAACAUAUUGUUUUUGGAAGGCCACCUGCUGGGACUGCAAGAGUUUUGAAGGUGUCAUUGGAGACCACAAGUCUCUUGCCCAGCUGGCUUUGGGACUCAAGAACAUCCUCUGACUUUCCUGCAAUGCCUUAUUACUUUCUCUCACCCAGCCACAGAGAAAGAAAAUUAUUCAUUCUCCCCUCCCUCAACUGGCUACUAGUCAGAAGUUAGAAACGGGCUGCAGGCAGAAGCCUGUGAGGGAGAGACAUGCUUGAUUUCUGCUGUAAUCCAAGGCAUCAGCGGCUAUGGGAAAAGCAAGACCCUCUGGGGGUGUUAAUACUAUGAGCCUCUCCGUCAUAGGCUCAGGUUGUUUAUAUGUGUAAAUAAACCAUAUAUCAUAAACACA